GAUGAACGCUGACAGAAUGCUUAACACAUGCAAGUCAUUGGCGAAGCUGCGCUUGCGCAGUCUAGCCAAGGCGGACGGGUGAGUAACGCGUAAGGAACUUGCCCUGCAGACAGGGAUAACAGACGGAAACGACUGAUAACACCUGGUAUUGUCAGGCUGGCGCAUGCCGGCCUGAUGAAAGGAGACGCUGCAGGAGAGCCUUGCGUCCUAUUAGCUAGUUGGUGGGGUAACGGCCCACCAAGGCGAUGAUAGGUAGCCGGCCUGAGAGGGGGAACGGCCACAAGGGGACUGAGAUACGGCCCUUACUCCUACGGGAGGCAGCAGUGGGGAAUAUUGGACAAUGGGGGCAACCCUGAUCCAGCAAUUCUGUGUGCACGAAGAAGGUUUUCGGAUUGUAAAGUGCUUUCAGCAGGGAAGAAGAAAGUGACGGUACCUGCAGAAGAAGCGACGGCUAAAUACGUG
rnacentral:rRNA from 1 species